UUAUGUGCUUUUUCAACCUGGGUA
rnacentral:siRNA from 1 species